rnacentral:rRNA from 1 species
CACACUGUAAACGAUGAUAGCUAGGUGUGGGGGGUCUGACCCCUUCCGUGCCGGAGUUAACGCAAUAAGCUAUCCACCUGGGGAGUACGACCGCAAGGUUGAAACUCAAAGGAAUUGACGGGGGCCCGCACAAGCAGUGGAUUAUGUGGUUUAAUUCGAAGCAACGCGAAGAACCUUACCAGGUCUUGACAUCCGACUAACGAGAUAGAGAUAUGUCAGGUGCCCUUCGGGGAAAGUCGAGACAGGUGG